rnacentral:rRNA from 1 species
AACAAACGCUGGCGGCGUGCCUAAUACAUGCAAGUCGAACGGGUCUUACCUUCGGGUAAGACAAGUGGCGCACGGGUGAGUAACACGUGGGUAAUCUGCCUUCGAGUGGGGGAUAACUAUCCGAAAGGAUGGCUAAUACCGCAUAAGACCACAAGAUCUGAGGAUCUAGGGGUCAAAGGUUUUUCGCUCGAAGAUGAGCCCGCGCAGGAUUAGCUAGUUGGUGAGGUAAUGGCUCACCAAGGCAACGAUCCUUAGCUGGUCUGAGAGGAUGAUCAGCCACACUGGAACUGAGACACGGUCCAGACUCCUACGGGAGGCAGCAGUAGGGAAUAUUGCGCAAUGGGGGAAACCCUGACGCAGCGACGCCGCGUGAGUGAUGAAGGCCUUCGGGUCGUAAAGCUCUGUUGCAAGGGAAUAAAAAAAUGAAUGUACCUUGUGAGGAAGGAUCGGCUAACUUCGUGCCAGCAGCCGCUGUAA